AAGAUUGUUGGUUAGGUGUUCAAAUAACGUUUUAUAGUUUUCACAUUUAGGUGAAAAUGUGAAUUGAUGAUCCGACCGUUGGAUCAUCACCAAACUUUGAUACGUUAUAGUACGUAAUAUUUGAGGAUUAUUGGAACUUACGGAUUGGGAAUCCGAGUUACGGAUCUUCCGGAAUUGGAAUUGUAAGUCCAUAAUAUAAAAUGUUAACCGUCACUUAGUUUUGGAAAUUGACGGAAAUCCAACCGUUGGAUGGUAAUGAAAUUUUAGGAUGUUGUCCUAGAGGUAUAAUGUGGACCUCUGGAAGUUAUGGAUUUAAAAUCUGAGUGGCAGAUCUUCCGGAUCGAACUACGUAGUGACGUAUUUUAUAUAAGUUAAAUAUUCUAUCGAUAUGAAUUCUGAGGUUGGAUUUGAUUACUAUUCUAGGCGGCGAUCGUCGUGACGCCUUGAUGUGUGGUGCUAGGGAGUUGUUGGAUGAACUCCAGGUGAGUGGGCAGUUUUGUUUUCCGUAUAUAUAUAUAUACUUAACGUUUUCCCAGAAAUUGAAAAUGCAUGAAAUUAUGUUUAAAAUGGAAUGCAUAUGAGUUAUGUGGAAAAACGGGAAGUGAAAUACCAUGCAUAGAAUUGAUAUGAAAAGUAUAUAGAAAUGUGAGUUGAAAUGCCAUGCAUGAAUUAAUAUAUGAUGCAUAUGUAUGAAUUGGUGCGGUGGACGCACAGGUAAGAAUUGAUUUAUGAUGCAUAUGUAUGAAUUGGUGCGGUGGACGCACAGGUAAGAAUUGAUUUAUGAUGCAUAUGUAUGAAAUGGUGCGGUGGACGCACAGAUGAGUAUUUAAUUACUGUUAUGAUGAUGAUGAUAUAUAUCGAGCUCAAAUCCUGCACCAUGGUUUAGUGCUUAUAGUAUUCACCGCAUCGCACGCUCGCCUUGGAUCCAAGUAGAUGCUAGUCGUACAGUCCACGCGGAGUGGGUACGACAGACCAGUCGCGAGAGUGUUAGUGAGAUUCCGACUGGUGGGUGACCUUAGAUUAUGUGCACAGCUGAUUUAUGAGAAGCACUAGAGCGUAACUUGUGUGCAGAAGGCCGGACGGGUCACAGAGGUGACUCCGGUAGAGUGAUAAUGAUAGAUUUUGAGCUCUAGGUUCAACCGUAUAGGGCUAUUAGAGGGCCUACGGUUGAUUACUUUCUUGCACCUGAUAUGAUUAUGUUGAUGCAUUCAUACCUUAUUACUGUUGAGAUGAUGUGGCAUGGCAUAAUUAAUAUAUGAGAAAUGUUGAGAUGACAUGGCAUGGCAUGAUUGAUAAAGAGAUAAUGUUGAGAUAGUAAAAAUGAAGUUUUGAGAAUAUAUAUGUAUAUUUAUAUUUUACAUUUCUGAGAAAGUAUACAGGUUUUACGGAGAGGGGUUACAACGUUUUGAGAAAUGUUUGGAUUUGGAAAAGAAUUGUUUUACUGACCCACUCAAUUUUGGUUUUGCGCCCCUCCAGGUUCAGGAAUCACAAAGGUGUGGUGACUACGAGGAAUUCGACGGUGUUCUGACAGAUUGGACAAAAUUAGGACUCACCUUCGGGUGUAUCAACUUAUAAAUUGUAUAAUUAAAGCUUCCGUACUGUGCAAAUGGUUACGUCACUCUCACGUGACGGCCAGCAUGCCCUCCUUCGGGACGGGGUGUGUGUCAGUUGGUAUCAGAGCAUGGUUGCAAUCUUGGACAUUUUGAGAAGUUCUAGUGAAUUCUGUCAGAACUACACCGCCUCGUAGCAAACCACGUAGUUAGAGGAAUUUAGUCUCCCUGAUUUAGCGGUUUGGGGGAAACUAUUAUUAUGGUGAUUCAGUAUAUUAUCAAAAUGGACAUUUUAAGACGGGUUAUGAGUUGAAUUUGAAUCACCUUAUGAAAUGAUGAACCUGAGGGAGCGGAGUGACGGUUUAACCAAUUGGAAAAGAUGUUUCAGAUUAUGCAAGUCAAAGGAAAUUUCCUUCUGACAGGUGGGUCGAGACGACUACCUGGUUUUGGGUAUGAAAUUGUAUCCUGGUGGAAACAGGAAUGUUAAUUGUUGUCACCAGAGGAAUCAGCCGAUUUAAAAUUUUUUAAGGAAAAGUUUAUCCCUCCGGCAUUUAUUGAUGGCAGUAAACAAGAGUUUACAAAUAUGAGACAAGGAAGGUGAUGAUCGAGGGAUAUUAUAGAAAGUUUUCAGACUUGCCUCGUUCCAUCCAGAUAUUGUUGUUAAUUUGGUGGAGGUGUUAUGUUGUUUUAAGCUGGGUGGCAAAAAGGGAAGUGGUAUUUUGGGUGACCACUAUCCAUUGUAGUUCUUAUCAGGAGUAUGCUAGAUGUUGUUGAGCCUUGAGGACUCUGAGAACAUGAGCAACGAGAAUAAAGAAGAAUAAGAAAAGAAUGGGAAUUAAAAGAAGACAAUAAAGUUAAUGAUUCGUCAUAUCAAGAAUAUCGAAGGAUUCAGAGCUUCGAAAGAAGUGAAGCUAGAGUUAAUUCUUCCAGCUGAGGUUUUAAUGUCGCUGGUCAGAGUAAAAGUGAUGGAUAUACUGGUAAUCCCAGAUAUUUGAGACAAGGUGUCUCGAGUAAAGGAAAUGUACUUUGGUGCAGCAGGUACAAAAUUAACACUUUGGGAAAUGUGAAAUUAAUGAAUGUGUUUAUGUGAACAGAGGGGACACAGAAUUGUGAAUCGUCCCUAGAAUCAGUUGUACUCAAUAAUUUUCCAUGAUAUCAUAGUGUCGAUUCAGCAGAGUUAUGGACUUAGUAGUUUGGUCGGAUUGACCGUGAGUACAGAGAGAUUUGAUGAGUUAUAUGUUCAGCUGUACAGACCAUGAGAAGUGGAUUCGAUUGACACAUGAGAAAUUAGUGAGUUAUAGGCUCGGCCGUACCGACCACGCGGAGUGGAUCCGGCCGACGUAUUAUUGAGAUAAGAGUUGAAUCAACCGUAUUGGUCAUUCUAGUUGACUUCGGCUGAUAUAUUUCUUAUUAUGUAUGAUAUUACCUAGAGAGUGGUAAAUAAAUGUAGUUGAGACGAGUGUAUGUAUUUUGCAUUGAGUGACAAAAUAGUAAUGUUAUAUCUUUGUGAGUGGUUGCCUACUUAUCGAGACAACGAUGAUUUAUCAGUAUUGCGGGCUGCAGACCGUAAUAUUAAUAACUCAUUCGUGGAUUCGUUAAGCAAGCAAACCGGUAGGUUAUUUUAUGUUAAUGUUGUACUUAUUUAGAAUGUUCAGUAUUAAUAAAGUAUGUAUUGUGUCGGUUAAAUUAUUUCCAUUAGAGUGGUUGGUUAUAAUUGUGACUAAAUGGAUUGUUACGGGAAACCAGUCACUUUCCAUCGAUCUGGAUGACCAGAGAUUACUUUUGUAAGUAUGCAAAGUGAAGUGAGUUCAGCCAUUAUUUAUGCUGUGAAAGCAAAGAGAUUGUUUUGAAAGGCUGUCAAAAAUACUUAGCUCAUGUGGUGCUAAAUGAUGUUGUUUGGAGUAGUGUGAAUAAUGUCGAAAGGGUUAGACUUUUCUUGAUGUCUUCUCUGAAAGUAUACCUGGAUUGUCUUCAGGCAGAGAUAUGAGGUUCAUUAUUGAUUUGUUGCCAGGUAUAAAUUUUUAUGUUAAAGAUUGGUUCAUGAUGAGUUAAGGGAAUUGGAAAUUCAGUUGAGAGAAUUGGUUGAUAAAAGUUUUAUUCAACCUAGUACAACACUUUUGAGGAGCCCCAGUUUGUUGGUGAGGAAGAAAAUGGAUCUUGAGACUGUUCAUUGAUUAUAGACAAUGGAGUCGGGUAACGAUUGAGAAACCGUUAUCCAUGGUGAUGUACUGAUGUUUAUUUAAACCAGCUCAGAAGUAAUAAUUGCGAAGAUUCAAAGAUUGAAUUGAGGUCUGGUUAUUACCAAUUAAAGAUUAUGAGCGACGUUGUUCUUAAGAUUGUUUUUAUGAACUAUGGUGUGAUGCUAUAUGGAUACUCAUGCUGUUUUAUGAGUUAUUGGAUGAAGUAUUCCAAUAAUGCCUUGAUAAAUUGAUAUCAUUUCCAUUGAAGAUAUUCUGGCAUAUUCUGAACCAGAGCAGAGUAUGUAAACGUAUUAAGUCAAUGAAGCAAAGAUUGAGAGAACGUUAGUUGUAUGCUAAGUUUAGCAAAAGCUAAAGUUAAAUGGAUCAAGUGGCAUUCUAAAAUUUGUUAUGUCUACUUAAGGUAUUCAAGUGAAUCCUUAAAGGAUAGCAGAAAUUGAGAAUUUGGAACAACCACGAGUCGUAAUUGAGAUUUGGAAUUUCUUAGCUUACCAGGCUAUUUUGGAUGGUUGUGAAAGAAUUUUUAGUCAUUGCUUUGUCAUUAACGAGACUGAUGAGAAAAGAGGUUAUGUAUGAGUGGGAAGGAAUUGUAAGCAAAGGAUUCAACAACUGAAGUAUUUCCUCACUCAUGCACGUAUUUUGGUAUUCCCAGAGAAUAGUGGUAAUCAUAAAUUUUUGGUGAUGUUACAUUAAAUGUUCUUGGAUAUGUACUAAUGCAAAUGUUAGGGUGAUUGCAUACGUUUCACGACAAAUGGAAUCUCAUGAGAUGAAUUACCCUACUAGUGAUUUGGAAGUCACGAUUACCAUCCUUGCUGUGAAGUUAUGGAGACAUUAUAUUUUAGUGAGAAUGUAAGAUUUUACAAAUCAAAAGAGUCUUCAAUAUCCAUUACUUGGAAGGAUUUUGAUAUGAGGCAGCGAAAGUGAAUUGUAUUGCUUAAUGAACAUGAUUGUACGAUCAGGGUGAUCGUAAAGUUUGUUCUAGCUGAAGCACUUGAUAAGAAGACUGCAGUAAGAAUUAAUAUCUAGUACGCUUGCCAAGAUUAUCUUCUUGUGGAUUGGAAAUCAACUAAAGUAAAGUUAAGAAUGAAAGAUCGAGAAGAAGUUAUACUUGCUAAGUUUCAAGUUAGGCCUUUUGGUAAGGUCGUACUCGAGACUCAAAUGGUAUGUGGAUACAAGAAAACAAAAAGUAUGUGCCUAAUGCUGAGGAUUUGAAGCAAGCAAAUAUUGGACGAAGUUCACUGUUCAACUUCUGCAAUAUUCCGAAAGUAAUAAGGUUUAUCAUACCAUUCGACAUUUUUAUUGGUCAGCAGAUUGAGGCAGAAAGAAAUAAACCUUUGGAUUGAGACAGCUAUUUUCUGUUUCGAAACGGAAAUGGAAAGAGAAUUGGAUUACGGAACUGCUAAGUUUCUUAAGUAUGUUGGUUGCGCAGUUUCCCGAAGUGAAGCCAUAAGGUUCAUGAAGUGUGUCAUGUGUGUGUUUUGUUGACUUGUGAAUGGAAUAUUUCUGGGUAGAGAAAGAUUCGAUCGAGAAAGAGUUUUAGUAGACCCUGAGACUAUGGAUGAGUCUCCUCAAAGUAUUCAGGUGAUUAAGUUAACCUAAAAGUAACCAGGAAUGACAAAAGACAUCAACAGAUGGAUAUGCCACUAAUCGAGUAUAUAAGGCAAAUGGUUUUAUAUUUUAGAAGUGUUCACCUUAGAAAAGUAGAAUUUGGAUUGGAAAAAGAAGGUCCUGAGAGUUAAGAUAGAGUAAAUGGUAAAAGUUUUGUGAAGGAAUCAUUCAGUGGAAGAAAAUUACGUGGGAGAAAAAGAAUCGGAUGAAAGAAACUUACCGAGGUUGGUAUAAGUGUUUGAUGAAUUGGUUGGUUGCUGGAAUUUCGGGGACGAAAUUCUAUAAGGAGGGAAGAUUGUCACAAGCCCGUUCCAAAUUAUUAUAUUCGUGGCUGUGAAUGGACGAAAUUGCCCUUAAGAAAUACUAAAUUUGUGAAGCUCAGGUUGCUAAUUAUCUAGGUUCCUAAGUUUGAAAAUAAAAUGGAAUUUAAUAAGGAUGGAACUUAGAUUUUUUAGGUUAAAAUGUUAAAGUUUGGUGUUUGGAGAUUGGAAUAAGGACCACGUGGGAUCCCCACAUCCCUCAAAACCCUCCUCAUUUCCCGUUCACUGUCUUUCUCUCUCCUCCUUCACGAUUUCUCACUCUCUCUGUCUCUCUCUCCUUCGAACUCACACGGACCACCACCAAAACCACCCUAAAUCUAUACCAACGUCAAGUUUGAGACCACCAUUGGAAUCCUGAGGACUUCACGAUCACGUUGGUAUCCAUUUCAGGUAAGUUUUUACUUCGGAAAAACCUAGAUUCUAAACUCCCCAUGAAAGUGUACUGUUCAUGAGCUUUGAAUUGGUUGAUUUUUAGGACAAUCCAAGCUCAUAGUGAGCUUAGUGAGGUCCCAAGGAAGCUCGGAGUGCUUCGUUGGAAGUUUCUGGACGUAAGAACACGGAGAUCGACAAGUUCAAAGUUUGGCCGGAGCUUUCGAGGCUUUUUCCGGCAAAUCCCCGGCGAGUUAGGAGUCGAGGUAGGUAUCAAUCUCUUCGUCUCGUCAAGUACUACAACUUUCCUUUUUAUUUCACUCAAUUUCGUUGAGUAUUGAAGAAGUUAUACUCAUUUGAAAAAUACCCAGUUUCCGGCGACCUCCGAGGCUUUCGAGGCAGUUUCCGGCCAAACCACGGCGAACUAGGUGUUGUGCAAGGUACCAUUCUCUUUGUAUCUUCAAGGGCUACAACUUUAGUUUUUGAAUCACUUGAUUUCGUUGAGAAAUGACAAAGUUAUGGCAAUUUGAAAAACUGCCCGGAAAACGGCCGCCGGAAAAACCAGUCCGGCGACCCAAGGAAGAAGAAGGUGCUACAGUAAAAAUAAAAAAUAAAAAUAAAAUUAUUUUAAAAAUAUGUCGACGUCCGUGACGUCGAGUAGAUCACUGUGGUAUAUUCAUAUACCUAAAUUGAACACCGUAUGAGAAAGUUAUUGAAGAUUGUUUGGUUAGGUGUUCAAAUAACGUUUUAUAGUUUUCACAUUUAGGUGAAAAUGUGAAUUGAUGAUCCGACCGUUGGAUCAUCACCAAACUUUGAUACGUUAUAGUACGUAAUAUUUGAGGAUUAUUGGAACUUACGGAUUGGGAAUCCGAGUUACGGAUCUUCCGGGAAUUGGAAUUGUAAGUCCAUAAUAUAAAAUGUUAACCGUCACUUAGUUUUGGAAAUUGACGGAAAUCCAACCGUUGGAUGGUAAUGAAAUUUUAGGAUGUUGUCCUAGAGGUAUAAUGUGGACCUCUGGAAGUUAUGGAUUUAAAAUCUGAGUGGCAGAUCUUCCGGAUCGAACUACGUAGUGACGUAUUUUAUAUAAGUUAAAUAUUCUAUCGAUAUGAAUUCUGAGGUUGGAUUUGAUUACUAUUCUAGGCGGCGAUCGUCGUGACGCCUUGAUGUGUGGUGCUAGGGAGUUGUUGGAUGAACUCCAGGUGAGUGGGCAGUUUUGUUUUCCGUAUAUAUAUAUAUACUUAACGUUUUCCCAGAAAUUGAAAAUGCAUGAAAUUAUGUUUUUAAAAUGGAAUGCAUAUGAGUUAUGUGGAAAAACGGGAAGUGAAAUACCAUGCAUAGAAUUGAUAUGAAAAGUAUAUAUAGAAAUGUGAGUUGAAAUGCCAUGCAUGAAUUAAUAUAUGAUGCAUAUGUAUGAAUUGGUGCGGUGGACGCACAGGUAAGAAUUGAUUUAUGAUGCAUAUGUAUGAAUUGGUGCGGUGGACGCACAGGUAAGAAUUGAUUUAUGAUGCAUAUGUAUGAAAUGGUGCGGUGGACGCACAGAUGAGUAUUUAAUUACUGUUAUGAUGAUGGAUGAUAUAUAUCGAGCUCAAAUCCUGCACCAUGGUUUAGUGCUUAUAGUAUUCACCGCAUCGCACGCGCUCGCCUUGGAUCCAAGUAGAUGCUAGUCGUACAGUCCACGCGGAGUGGGUACGACAGACCAGUCGCGAGAGUGUUAGUGAGAUUCCGACUGGUGGGUGACCUUAGAUUAUGUGCACAGCUGAUUUAUGAGAAGCACUAAGAGCGUAAACUUGUGUGCAGAAGGCCGGACGGGUCACAGAGGUGACUCCGGUAGAGUGAUAAUGAUAGAUUUUGAGCUCUAGGUUCAACCGUAUAGGGCUAUUAGAGGGCCUACGGUUGAUUACUUUCUUGCACCUGAUAUGAUUAUGUUGAUGCAUUCAUACCUUAUUACUGUUGAGAUGAUGUGGCAUGGCAUAAUUAAUAUAUGAGAAAUGUUGAGAUGACAUGGCAUGGCAUGAUUGAUAAAGAGAUAAUGUUGAGAUAGUAAAAAUGAAGUUUUGAGAAUAUAUAUGUAUAUUUAUAUUUUACAUUUCUGAGAAAGUAUACAGGUUUUACGGAGAGGGGUUACAACGUUUUGAGAAAUGUUUGGAUUUGGAAAAGAAUUGUUUUACUGACCCACUCAAUUUUGGUUUUGCGCCCCUCCAGGUUCAGGAAUCACAAAGGUGUGGUGACUACGAGGAAUUCGACGGUGUUCUGACAGAUUGGAC
rnacentral:lncRNA from 1 species